GUAUUUACAGUUGUGCUUGAAUACACAUGGGUUGACCUGUUUUUGUGUUGAUUUUGAGUAACGACUGUCUAUAUAAUUUUGAUGUUACCCUUUUUUAUUCAUUUCUUCUAACUUUUAUCUGAACAAGUUAUACUUUAAUACACACCCUAUAUUCCUUACAUUAUAAACUUGAUUUUGAUUGGUGUCCGAUUUACGUCUUCUUAGUUUAUCGUGUCUUAAAUGUAUUCUCAUGUAGAAUUGGUGGAUGCUACUGGCCUUAACUCCAGGUGUAAAUCUAAGAAGACGACUCGUGCAUAAGGUUUUGGUUUCGUCCACGAAGAAGUAUGACCAAGUCGGUUACAGCUAUCUUGUUUAUACUACAGGUGUAGGUCCCUUCUAUCGACAUCUAAAUUAAAGUCCUGAUAUGUUAGGGUAGUAUGUCGAUAAGUCCGAUGUAAUCCAUUCUCAAUGUUCAACUUUAUCUUUUGGUUCUAGUUUAAGACUAGUGACAUGUAGAGUUAUCUCGUCUGUUUAUAUGUUUGUGUUUAAAUCUAUUUUAUUGUUGGAAACUAUAUUUAUCGUAUAAGACCCUUUUUUAUAGUUUUAUAUAACUUAGACCAUGGAUUUGCUAAACCAGAAACAAAUCUGACGGCUAACAAUUACUUCAAGUUUAAACUCGACACUACACUAUCAUCUAAGUUGACGCUUAGUCUGUUUGCUAAAGUGAUAUUGAAUUUACCCAAGCUCACUAAUGUUUAAGGACACAUUUGUUUGAGUCUUGUCUUAUGUUAAAUGCUCUCGCCUUUAAGCAGAGUUCAAAUACAUACGAAGUCGACAUCUAAUAGCUAACAUGGAAACCAAACAUCGUGGAACUAGCUAAGCGCUGCCAUCUUGCAACACGGUCCUUCUAGCCUAGCCUGCUCU
rnacentral:rRNA from 1 species